GGAGAGGAGGGCAUUCCAGGCAGUUGGAGCAGCUCUUGCUAAGGCAUGGGAAUGAGAAAAGACACGGUCAUUAUCUAAGUGCUGAGGAUCCAGCGAUGAGCAUGUCAAAGUCCUUGGUUUCGUGGAGUUUAUAUUCUAGGGAAGAAGAUUGAUGAUAAACAAAUAGCCUUCACAACCUUUUGAUAAGCAAUUCCCAACAUGAAAUUCCAUCUGUUUAAAAGAACUGGUAUAGGGGUUCUAUUUCUCCAUGAGGACCAACACUGAUACAGGCGAACCCACGACUCAACCUACGACAAGAAAAACGUGGAGUGGAUGAGGAGGAGAAGCAUGGCCAUGGACAAGCCAGGAAAAACUGGAGAGAUCAGAUAAUCGGAUGUCUUUGGCAAGUGCAGGACGGCCUACAACGAUUUCUGAUGUGUAGCAGUUUCGGGUAGGAAUGGGGUCCAGAGUGUGCCUUGGAAACAGUGGCUGAAGAAAAGUGGGCUGUAGUUUCACUGUGAUUGAUGAGAUCAUUUGACUGUGAUGCAGGGAUGCUACUUGGUUCACUCAGAUGGCCACUGAAACAAGGACCAAUGAUGCUGGGAUAUGAGGACAUGUCAGACUAUGUCUUCUACACCAUGGCAAUACAUUUUUAUUAGAGAAAUACCUUUUAAAUUUUUAUUUAUUUAUUUAUUUAUUUAUUUAUUUAUUUAUUUAUUUAUUUAU